rnacentral:rRNA from 1 species
AGAGUCACUCCUACGGGAGGCAGCAGUGGGGAAUUUUGGACAAUGGGGGCAACCCUGAUCCAGCCAUGCCGCGUGCGGGAAGAAGGCCUUCGGGUUGUAAACCGCUUUUGUCGGGGAAGAAAUCUUCCGGGUUAAUACCUCGGGAGGAUGACGGUACCCGAAGAAUAAGCACCGGCUAACUACGUGCCAGCAGCCGCGGUAAUACGUAGGGUACAAGCGUUAAUCGGAAUUACUGGGCGUAAAGCGUGCGCAGGCGGUUAUGCAAGACAGAUGUGAAAUCCCCGGGCUUAACCUGGGAACUGCAUUUGUGACUGCAUAGCUGGAGUACGGCAGAGGGGGAUGGAAUUCCGCGUGUAGCAGUGAAAUGCGUAGAUAUGCGGAGGAACACCGAUGGCGAAGGCAGUCCCCUGGGCCUGUACUGACGCUCAUGCACGAAAGCGUGGGGAGCAAACAGGAUUAGAUACCCUGGUAGUCCACGCCCUAAACGAUGUCAACUGGUUGUUGGGAGGGUUUCUUCUCAGUAACGUAGCUAACGCGUGAAGUUGACCGCCUGGGGAGUACGGCCGCAAGGUUGAAACUUAAAGGAAUUGACG